rnacentral:rRNA from 1 species
GCUUAGCCCUUAACAUAGACAAUAAAAACACAAUAUUGUCCGCCAGAGAACUACAAGCGAAAAGCUCAAAACUCCAAGGACUUGGCGGUGCUCCACAUCACCCUAGAGGAGCCUGUCCUAUAAUCGAUACCCCACGUUAAACCUUACCAUCUUUAGCCCCUCAGCCUAUAUACCGCCGUCGCCAGCAUACCUUGUGAAAGAGACAACAGUGUGCACAACAGUUAUUAACUAAUACGUCAGGUCAAGGUGUAGCACAUAAGAUGGAAGAGAUGGGCUACAUUUUCUACCAUAGAAUAAACGAAUGGCACAAUGAAACAUGCACCCGAAGGCGGAUUUAGCAGUAAGACAGACAAGAAAUGCUGUCUUAAAACCGCUCUGGAGCGCGC